AGAGUUUGAUCAUGGCUCAGGAUGAACGCUGGCGGUAUGCCUAACACAUGCAAGUCGAACGAUGUCUUCGGACAUAGUGGCGAACGGGUGAGUAACGCGUGAGAAUCUGCCUCUAGGAUGGGGAUAACGGUUGGAAACGACCGCUAACACCCAAUAUGCCGUAAGGUGAAAAAUUUAUUGCCUGGAGAGGAGCUCGCGUCUGAUUAGCUAGUUGGUGGGGUAAGAGCUCACCAAGGCUUCGAUCAGUAGCUGGUCUGAGAGGAUGAGCAGCCACACUGGGACUGAGACACGGCCCAGACUCCUACGGGAGGCAGCAGUGGGGAAUUUUCCGCAAUGGGCGAAAGCCUGACGGAGCAAUACCGCGUGAGGGAGGAAUGCCUUUGGGUUGUAAACCUCUUUUCUCAGGGAAGAAGAUCUGACGGUACCUGAGGAAUAAGUAUCGGCUAACUCCGUGCCAGCAGCCGCGGUAAUACGGAGGAUGCAAGCGUUAUCCGGAAUCAUUGGGCGUAAAGCGUCCGCAGGUGGUUUCCAAAGUCUGCUGUUAAAGACUGGAGCUCAACUCCGGAACGGCGGUGGAAACUUGGAAACUAGAGUUCGGUAGGGGUAGCAGGAAUUCCCAGUGUAGCGGUGAAAUGCGUAGAUAUUGGGAAGAACAUCGGUGGCGAAGGCGUGCUACUGGACCGUAACUGACACUCAGGGACGAAAGCUAGGGGAGCGAAAGGGAUUAGAUACNNCUGUAGUCCUAGCUGUAAACGAUGGAAACUAGGUGUGGCUUGUAUCGACCCGAGCCGUGCCGUANCUNACGCGUUNAGUUUCCCGCCUGGGGAGUACGCACGCAAGUGUGAAACUCAAAGGAAUUGA
rnacentral:rRNA from 1 species